AAGAAGAAAAUGGAGCUUUUGAUCAAUAAAAAAUAAUUUCUUUGAAGCUAAAGCAUUUUCAGCUUUGAGCAAUAAAAUCAACAUUAACUAUUGAUUCAACUUUUGUCAAGAAAAUUCAAUCAAAUAUGCUCUCUAAUCCUCUUAUUUAUGAUAUAAAGAAUAUUUUUUUAAAUCUCAUAAUAUUUCUUAAUUUAAAUUUAAGAAUAAUUUAUUAUAUAUUGAGAAGUAAUCAUAUAUUCUAGAAAGAAAAGUGCAAUUAUGAGUUCUUCAAGUUCAUCAUGACUUUCCAACAACUGAACAUUUUGGAUACAAUAAGACUUUGGAGUUAAUAUCAAGAGAUUUUUAGCAGCUUCAAAUAUGGAAGGUGGUUAAAGACUUUGUAUAAUCAUGUAAAUUUUUUUCAAGAUUAAAAACUCCUUGUCAUCAACAUUACGGAC
rnacentral:lncRNA from 1 species